rnacentral:rRNA from 1 species
AUAACGACUCUCGGCAACGGAUAUCUUGGCUCUCGCAUCGAUGAAGAACGUAGCGAAAUGCGAUACUUGGUGUGAAUUGCAGAAUCCCGUGAACCAUCGAGUCUUUGAACGCAAGUUGCGCCCGAAGCCAGUAGGCUGAGGGCACGCCUGCCUGGGCGUCUCGCA